rnacentral:lncRNA from 1 species
AACUAGAGCCUAGGUAUUUUGCCUUUCAUCCACUGAGACUUGGGAAAGGGUUUUGCUACUACCACCGUUCCCUGCUCCCCUUUAUUUUCUUCUACUAAAGUAGAAGAAAAAUACCCCAAGUUCAGGUUUCCCUUGGCUAAUUGCUCAGGAAAGUACAGGCCACCCCUUCACACCCUGGCAAGUGGACAGUUAUUUGCAAGUGAGGGCUGGGGCCAUUUCCUGGUUCUUGGGUGGCAGAGGUGUUUGCUACAGAAUUUAAAGGCUGUAAUAACUAUUGAACACCCUAUUAUCUGGCUGCCUAAUUAAUGUAAAUGAUAGUUAUGCCACGCUCACCGAGGAUUAUGUUACUCAGAGGAAAAUCUGCUAACAGCCACAAGACCGUUCUAGUCGCUUUUAUGGAAGCAGGCACAUUAUGGCUUCAUGGAGUAAAAGAGAUCAGGCACUGUGAGCUAUUUUGCCCUGGAGCUACAUCUUCAUCACAGUGGCACAGACUUAAAAGGGCUCAGCACUAUGGACUUCUGGACCUCACUGCAAGCUUGUUCCAGGGCCUGGGACUUUAAAGGAAGAAGACACAUUGCUGACAUGAGAAAAAUUCACAGAAGAAAUAAAGUGAAGAAUGGUAUCUCUAGAUCUGCA